rnacentral:rRNA from 1 species
AGAGUUUGAUCCUGGCUCAGAUUGAACGCUGGCGGCAUGCUUUACACAUGCAAGUCGAACGGUAACAGGGUGCUUGCACCGCUGACGAGUGGCGAACGGGUGAGUAAUGCGUCGGAACGCACCGAGUAAUGGGGGAUAACGCUUCGAAAGGAGUGCUAAUACCGCAUACGCUCCGAGGAGGAAAGCGGGGGACCUUANGGCCUCGCGUUAUUCGAGCGGCCGACGUCUGAUUAGCUAGUUGGUGAGGUAAAGGCUCGCCAAGGCGACGAUCAGUAGCGGGUCUGAGAGGAUGAUCCGCCACACUGGGACUGAGACACGGCCCAGACUCCUACGGGAGGCAGCAGUGGGGAAUUUUGGACAAUGGGCGCAAGCCUGAUCCAGCCAUGCCGCGUGUCUGAA